rnacentral:rRNA from 1 species
GACGAACGCUGGCGGCGUGCUUAAUACAUGCAAGUCGAACGGACAGGCCCUGCUUUUGUGGGGUGCUCGAGUGGCGAACGGGUGAGUAACACGUGAGUAACCUGCCCUUGACUUUGGGAUAACUUCAGGAAACUGGGGCUAAUACCGGAUAGGAGCUCCUGCUGCAUGGUGGGGGUUGGAAAGUUUCGGCGGUUGGGGAUGGUCUCGCGGCUUAUCAGCUUGUUGGUGGGGUAGGGGCUUACCAAGGCUUUGACGGGUAGCCGGCCUGAGAGGUUGACCGGCCACAUUGGGACUGAGAUACGGCCCAGACUCCUACGGGAGGCAGCAGGGGGGAAUAUUGCACAAUGGGCGGAAGCCUGAUGCAGCAACGCCGCGUGCGGGAUGACGGCCUUCGGGUUGUAAACCGCUUUCGCCUGAAACGAAGCGUGAGUGACGGUAAUGGGUAAAGAAGCACCGGCUAACUACGUG